AAUAUAUUUGACAGACAAUAUAACUUUUAAGUAUCCAAACAACCUCUUAAUGAAAAUUUUCCCGCCCAAUCUCUCUCUAGGCUUUUCUCCCUCAUGAUACUCUCUAUGGAAUUGAAGGACGAGCGACGCAUUGAUGGUGAUCAUCAUUCUCUAAGACUCUCACGCCUAACAAAGAAUCAAGGAACCCUGGUCCCUUGAUCCAACUCUCUCUCAGCCAAAAAGGAUGAACCUUGCCUCUUCAAUGGUGAGUCAGUCUCUGUGAAUCUUGCAAUCGGAAAGUAAGAGAGAGAAAAUGACAUGAUCUUUUUUUUAUCUCUCUAAGCAUCCCCCAAAGAUCUCAAGGUGAUCCCCAAUGGUGGAUGACUAACACUCGAGGUGAAGUGGAUGAGGAGCAGCAGAGGUCUAUAGCUAUGGGGAGUACAAAUAAACCUCAAGUGAGCAUGAGUAACAUCGAAGGCAAUGUGCCUGAGCAACCCCAGUGAUUGGCUUAAUUUUUCACGUGAUCACAUUUAAGCUUUACUUGUAUUUGUAACUUUUAAGCGUUACUUAUAUUUGUAUGUAUGUAAAUAAAAUAAAAUUUUAAUUGUCAA